rnacentral:rRNA from 1 species
CCUACGGGGUGCAGCAGUGAGGAAUAUUGGUCAAUGGACGAAAGUCUGAACCAGCCAAGUAGCGUGAAGGAUGACUGCCCUAUGGGUUGUAAACUUCUUUUAUAAAGGAAUAAAACGAGGCACGUGUGCCUUUUUGCAUGUACUUUAUGAAUAAGGAUCGGCUAACUCCGUGCCAGCAGCCGCGGUAAUACGGAGGAUGCGAGCGUUAUCCGGAUUUAUUGGGUUUAAAGGGUGCGCAGGCGGAGGCCCAAGUCAGCGGUAAAAUCGCGGGGCUCAACCCCGCUCCGCCGUUGAAACUGUGUCUCUUGAGUGCGCGAAGGGUAGGCGGAAUGCGUGGUGUAGCGGUGAAAUGCUUAGAUAUCACGAAGAACUCCGAUUGCGAAGGCAGCUUACUAACCUGCCACUGACAUUGAUGCUCGAAAGUGUGGGUAUCAAACAGGAUUAGAUACCCCUGUAGUC